rnacentral:rRNA from 1 species
UACGUAGGGGGCUAGCGUUAUCCGGAAUGAUUGGGCGUAAAGCGUCCGCAGGUGGCUAUGUAAGUCUGCUGUUAAAGAGUCUAGCUCAACUAGAUAAGAGCAGUGGAAACUACAAGGCUAGAGUACGUUCGGGGCAGAGGGAAUUCCUGGUGUAGCGGUGAAAUGCGUAGAGAUCAGGAGGAACACCAGUGGCGAAGGCGCUCUGCUAGGCCGUAACUGACACUGAGGGACGAAAGCUAGGGGAGCGAAUGGG